CAACCCAAUUAAGAUAUUUAGUGUGCUGGUGCAACCCACUGUAUUACGCAAGAUGGAAAGAUAUAGAGAGCAGUAUGACCCAUCAGAUUCCUUUAGCGGUGGUAAUGGCAGAUUAAUGAACAACAUGGUACAGAAAAACAACCCCUGGAUUAAUACCACAUUGAAAAAAUGGCAGAAGACAAUAAAACUCUAAUUUGGAACAUACUUUAAAAAUAUUAAGAUGGUGCACCUUUGACACAGAUUUCUCUCCUAAUAGACUGGACUACAGAUUUAGGGCUUGGAUUAAAGAGGGGUUUACUACACCUUUGUAAAUAAAGGAACACUCAAGAGCUUUGAAUUGUUACAGCAAGAGCAUGGACUACAAUGCCAAGAUUUCUAUAGGUAUCUCCAGGUUAGACACUACUUUCAGGAAAAUAUAGUUAAAGCAAUAGAAGGGCAAAAGACAGGUAUUUUGGAAGUGUUCAAAGGAGCAAUCAAUUCAUCAAUAUGCAAGAAGGUUGUACCUAGAUUAUAUCAUGAGUUACACCAAGCCAGUCCAGACAACACUCUAUAUAUCAAGGACAAAUGGGAAAAUGAAGGUAGUUUUCAAUAUCUGAAGAAGAGUGGGAAAGCAUAUGUAGACUACAAUGGGGAACAACAUGCUCCAAUACAUGGUGAGAAUAUAGCUGGAAAAAUUUGUCCAGAUUUUUUAUAACACCAUUGCAACAAUGAACACAAAUAUCAAGCACAGCCUGCUGGUGGGCCUGUGGAGCAAAUGAGGCCAAUCACUUUCAUGUCUUCUGGGAUUGCCCAGUACUAAUUCCAUACUGGCAAACAAUACACCA